rnacentral:misc_RNA from 1 species
UCUUCACGAGCUUCUUUCUUCCUCUCCUCUCCUCUCCUCUCCUCUUCGCUACCUUAUUAGUUUUUUCUUCUCUUUACUCGUUUAUUUGGGGCUUUCCUAUUCAAGGGAGAGAUGGCAGAGCCAAAACCAACUACACCCUUGAUCUCACCAUCGUCAUCAAGAAACCUUCCUGAUUUCAAAAAAUCUGUGAAGCUAAAAUAUGUGAAAUUGGGUUACCAUUACCUCAUCUCCCAUGGAAUGUACCUUUUCCUUUCCCCUCUUGUAGUCCUAAUUGCUGCUCAGCUUUCAACAUUUUCUCUCCAAGAUUUUUAUACUCUUUGGGAGCAUCUACAGUACAAUCUCAUAUCUGUGAUAAUCUGCUCAUCACUACUUGUUUUCCUAAUUACACUCUAUUUUAUGACUCGUCCUCGGCCUGUAUACCUUGUCAACUUUCCUGCUACAAGCCUGCAGAAUCUCGU